rnacentral:rRNA from 1 species
UGGGGAAUUUUGGACAAUGGGCGAAAGCCUGAUCCAGCAAUGCCGCGUGUGUGAAGAAGGCCUUCGGGUUGUAAAGCACUUUUGUCCGGAAAGAAAUCCUUGGCUCUAAUACAGUCGGGGGAUGACGGUACCGGAAGAAUAAGCACCGGCUAACUACGUGCCAGCAGCCGCGGUAAUACGUAGGGUGCAAGCGUUAAUCGGAAUUACUGGGCGUAAAGCGUGCGCAGGCGGUUUGCUAAGACCGAUGUGAAAUCCCCGGGCUCAACCUGGGGACUGCAUUGGUGACUGGCAGGCUAGAGUAUGGCAGAGGGGGGUAGAAUUCCACGUGUAGCAGUGAAAUGCGUAGAGAUGUGGAGGAAUACCGAUGGCGAAGGCAGCCCCCUGGGCCAAUACUGACGCUCAUGCACGAAAGCGUGGGGAGCAAACAGGAUUAGAUACCCUGGUAGUCCAGCGCCCUAAACGAUGUCAACUAGUUGUUGGGGAUUCAUUUCCUUAGUAACGUAGCUAACGCGUGAAGUUGACCGCCUGGGGAGUACGGUCGCAAGAUUAAAACUUAAAUGAAUUGACGGGGUCAUAGCUGUUUCCU